rnacentral:lncRNA from 1 species
AUGGAGGAAGAGGGCACGUUGAGGAAAGUGAAGGAGGAGGCUACAGUGAAAGCAUGAGGCAGGAAGCGGAGGAGGAGAGUAUGACGAAAUUGUCAGGAGGAAAGCAGAGUGCCGCACAAUACUACGAGAUGGCGCCAUAAUAGCGUGCGCCGUUGGGUCCAUAACAUUUGCAAAAGAGACGAAGGCGCACAAAAAGAUUCUGGAACAAUGCAAGAGCACUCCGAGCUCCAGCUAAGAAUUUGCAGACGGCUAUAAGGGAUGAAGACGGUAGCGUCUUCGAAGGAGACGAUGCGCUGCGGUACAUCACAGACGCUGUUAGCGCUAACUUCGGCACAAAAGAAAGUAUAGUCCAGACCCAAACAGAUCCGUAAUCAACAGAGAAGACCGAGAGGUCAAAAUUGACCAUAGAAAACUUUUACUGAACAAAAGCAGAAGAAAAUGCCCCUAAUAACACUGCUGCAGGACCGGAUGAAAUCCCAAUACAGCUAAUCAAAAACCUCGCUCCAAAGAGCAAGGCAGUGCUGACUAAUGCCAUUGAACGAGUGAUUAAAAUGAAGAAAAUUCCAGUUGGAAGGCAUGAACGCAAGAUGAACCUCAUCUACAAAGGCAAAGGUGAUUAGGAUAGGACGAGCGCAUU